rnacentral:rRNA from 1 species
GACGGGGGAUGCAAGCGUUAUCCGGAAUGAUUGGGCGUAAAGGGUCCGCAGGUGGCCCGGUCAGUCCGCUGUCAAAGCCUGGGGCUCAACCCUGGAGAGGCGGCGGAGACCACCGGGCUUGAGUCCGGUAGGGGCAGAGGGAAUUCCCGGUGGAGCGGUGAAAUGGCGUAGAGAUCGGGAGGAACACCAGUGGCGAAGGCGGCUACCUGGACCAGCACUGACACUGAGGCACGAAAGCGUGGGGAGCAAA